GAACGCUGGCGUCAGGCCUAACACAUGCAAGUCGAGCGCCGUACCACUACGGAGCGGCAGACGGGAGAGUAACACGUGGGAACGUGCCCUUCAGUUCGGAACAACCCAGGGAAACUUGGGCUGAUACCGGAUACGUCCGUAAGGAGAAAGAUUUAUCGCUGAAGGAUCGGCCCGCGUCUGAUUAGCUAGUUGGUGGGGUAACGGCCCACCAAGGCGACGAUCAGUACCUGGUCUGAGAGGAUGAUCAGCCUCACUGGGACUGAGACACGGCCCAGACUCCUACGGGAGGCAGCAGUGGG
rnacentral:rRNA from 1 species